rnacentral:lncRNA from 1 species
CACAACUUGCAAGCAAAACAAUGCUGAAAUGACUUGAAACUUAAAUUCCCCAUUUAUAAAACAAAAGGGGUUUUUGACUGGAUAUCAGAAGCAUCAGAACUCCCAAAAUUCUCUACUAUUUAAUGAUAAUUUGAUAAGAUUGAUGUAAUAAUCACUUGAAAUAGUAUAGUUUGAUAACCAAACAACUACGCAAUGUUUCUGAUUAUUAUAUAAAACUAUUAAAUUAGUAUAUAAAAGAUUAAAAAAUUUAGCAAUUAGAACCAUGCAAAUGACCAAGUUGUCAAGUAUGAUUCCUUCAAUUAAUUUAAUAAAUUCACAAUUGAGAUUUUAUCGUAAUGGACCAAAACAAAGUUAACAUAAGCAACAGAUGUUAGAGACUUGGUAACAGAACCUUCCAUUUCUCUCUCUGAGGGUUUAAGGGCAGGCACUGCUAGGUCUUCACGAGCUUGGAAACAGUGAAGCCAUCAAAAAGAGUCAACAUCAAACAGUUGGUUUAGCAUCUCAUCAAUAAGCAAAUAGAACUGUUCAGCUACAGAUUCACAGAGCCAAAUCCAGAAAAUCAAGUUUGUGUGUUUGUACAGCAUAAAAAUUUGAAUGAAACAACUUGAAGUUUCCCUACAAUUGUUUCCGUUUGUCGGUAUUAUAUGUUAUCAGAAUACAGAACAAGCAUCAACCCAAUAAUUGCUUAUAAUCUUCAUGAUUCAAUCAAUCCAUGUUAUGUCUUUGCUAUGUAUUUAGUGCCGGUGCGCUCAUAUACAUCUAACAUCCCUCCCUCCUUUUGUUAAUUAAUAAAAAUUGACAAGAUAUAGAAAAGUUAAAAGAAGUAUGUAUUAAUCAGAGUUAGCCAACCAAAUGUCGGAUUUACAUUUACAGAGAGAUAAUCAGACACAAUCUUGAAUUGACGAAAGAUGUCUUUGCAAGUGACAAAUAACUCAGAACUCUUUUGAGUGGAUGACAGAUAGAGGAAAACAGGAAACACUGUUUAAAAGAAGGAGAAUAUUAUGCGGGGGUGCAUGCAUGUUUAUGUCAGUGAAAUCCUUAGGUAACUGUGCAUUAGCAAUUUCUAUAGUUUAGAUUCGCCCCAAUUAGCCACUGUUGUAAGUAGAUAUUCAUAGAGGUGAUAACAAUAUAUCAAUUCUCCCGUCCCAAAGGAAUUUCACUAGGGCAUCGGAGGAGGAGCAAGAAACCCUGAUGAAGGGAGUAUUAGUAACACCACACUUUGCUCAUCAGAAUUGAUGUAACCAAAAAUAAUAGUCAAUUCAUAAUAAGCCAAAUUAGCAACAUGUAUUGUCGAGUGCUAUUACACUACCUCCAGAAGGCUUAAAAAGGGAAAGGCUUUUCAAACUGCUUUGGAAAAGCUACUUAAGUAUAGAAGGUAAUUUAACCCAUAGAAGCAACAUGCUAAAUCUGACGCAAGGGAAUAUAAAUAACAACAGUGAAAAUAAGGAAAAAAAUUAAAAACUUUUGUCCAGUAAACAACCAGAGAAGCUUACUUUAAUCCACGAAGAAAAAACGAGUCUGAAAUAGACAUGAGAAUGCUAAUUAUGCAUAUCAAGACUUAUACAACUGGACUAUGCAAGAAAUGGGGGAAAAUAUCUAUUAGGUCCACGGAUUGACACAUAUUCAACUUCUAUGAUUAAACAUAUCAAAAUUCUCUAGGCAUUUAGCUCACUGUUUUUACCUUCAUUUCUCUCUUGCUUACUUUGCCUCUCCUUCUCGGCUGCCUGGACUCGAACAACAGUAAACAUAAGAAUAGCAUAAGCUAUUUGUAAUAGGAAAAAUGCUCAGAGUAAAUUUUAAUUGUACUUCAAAACAGGAAGAUACGAAAAUCCUUCUCAGAAUUUAACAGUACCAUUAAAUUCCAGGAGAUCAGUGUAGCAUCAGUUUUGUAGGAAUUGCAAAGAUAUUAUUACAUCUUUGAAAGGAGCAUGUACAUUUUUAAGGCAAUGACAGUUUAUUUUUGUUGACCCUAACAGAAGAGAAAUGUGGCCUGUUGGUACUAGCAAAUUAUUUGUGAAAACAAGAUCAUAAUGCCCUACACAAUCAAAACCCAGUAACUUUUUUAACUGGAACUGCAAGCAAGCACUUAAAUGAUAACUACUACAGAAACCAUCAGAAAACAAUAUCAUUGUGGUAAUCCAAUGGCAAGAUAUACUUUGCUAGUGCCCUAUUCGUUUGAAACAUAUCAAUGAAGUCAACACGACAAAGGGAAUUCAAUGGUUUAUUGCAAAUUAUAUUCUGCCUAUUAUUUGGGUCUUGCAAUUUNN